UGGAAAAUCAACAAAAUGUGCAACACUAAAAGAGUCUAGAUUUUCGCGGGGUUUUCUUGUCAACUUAGCAACAGCCGCACGCGAAGCGACGUCAUCACGUGACGCUCCACCCCGCCCUCACUCUCAGUCGGGCUGCGGUUUGCAGGAGCUCCAACUUCUGGCGGAGGCGGCAGCGGCGGGGCACCGCGAAGGAAGCGGGAGGCCUGCCGAGCCUGCCCCGCCCCACACGUGCCCCGCCCCACAUGAGCUGCCGCGCGCCGCUGCAAUGGCCCCACCCACCGACAAAUGCCGGGGAAGCGGAAAGAGCGGGAGCUGGCGUGGGACGGGAGAGGGAAGGCUGGGUGCGUUCCCCUCCUAGAAAGGGUGGGGAAGCAAAACCCUUUGCAGCUCCUGGUCUAGAAGGAUCCUUCGUGGUGGGACGCUGGGUCUGAGGCUCCGGGCACACACAGAGAACAAACCGAGGAGAAAAAAACGCACCCUACCAAUAAAUUAUGGUGAAAGGACCUUGCCUUAGAAAAGGAAAUGAAAUGCCCAGGCUUCAUCUGAGCCCUGGGAUGGUGGGAGAAGAGUUGUAGGAAACAAAUGGCUUGAGGGGCUUAACACAACCCAGUCUCCGCCCCCCCCCCCCCAACCCGGCUCAAAUCUUGACAACGUUCCUUCCAGUCAGCCUGUCCCCUUGCCACAGUCCAUGAAGUGACACCAUUCUUAAGGCUUCUCAAAAGCACCGUUAUUUCAGUUAAUUCCAGGUAAAAUGUACAUGGUUCCUUGGCAACAUUCUUCCUCCUCAUUUAAGAACUUGGGAGUUUGAAUCUGAACAUUUGCCUACUAUUUACAUUAAAUAAUUGCCUUGCCUUUAGCAAGCUGGACUACACUUAACAUAUGCCCUUUGGUGGAGUGGAGACGACUUGUCUGUCCUGUCCAAGCUUAAACACCAAGGGAAUGACUUUAAAUCUUGCUGGAUGGAACUGCCACUCACCGCUAGAAAUCGGGGAUCAACAGCGAACUCUGGAUGACCCUGUAACCACAUCUCCAGUUCAGCCCGGCGAGGGGCAUCCUCACCCACCAGCAAAGUACCAUCCACCUUAUUGAUGACAGGGAUCCGGGUCUCCAGGUCCACAUCAAGGUGAUUAGGCUCUUCCAUGCACUCCACCUCCAGCUGCAAACCCAGAAUCCACCCCCAUGAGCACAUACUCUUCUUUGGGGCAGGGAGGGAGGGGGAGUAGAGCCAAUGGUAGCCAUAAAAUAAUUCUAGUAUCUUCUAGUCCCUUAAUCCCAACUGCCUUCAUCAAUUAGUAGGAAUUAAAAAAAUCUAAUCAUCACAUUAAAGACUUUUUCUAUCACUCA